rnacentral:rRNA from 1 species
GACGAACGCUGGCGGCGUGCUUAACACAUGCAAGUCGAACGGAAAGGCCCCUUUGGGGGUACUCGAGUGGCGAACGGGUGAGUAACACGUGAGUAACCUGCCCUUGACUUCGGGAUAACUUCAGGAAACUGGGGCUAAUACCGGAUAGGAAUCCUUGCUGCAUGGUGGGGGUUGGAAAGCUUCGGCGGUUUUGGAUGGACUCGCGGCUUAUCAGCUUGUUGGUGGGGUAGUGGCUUACCAAGGCUUUGACGGGUAGCCGGCCUGAGAGGGCGACCGGCCACAUUGGGACUGAGAUACGGCCCAGACUCCUACGGGAGGCAGCAGUGGGGAAUAUUGCACAAUGGGCGGAAGCCUGAUGCAGCAACGCCGCGUGCGGGAGGACGGCCUUCGUGUUGUAAACCGCUUUCAGCAGGGGCGAAGCUUGUGGUGACGGUACCUGCAGAAGAAGCACCGGCUAACUACGUG